rnacentral:lncRNA from 1 species
GCUUUCCGGCGCGGUCGCAGCGCGAAGCAGCUGUCAUGGCGGAAGCGGUCUGGAGCACUGACACCGGCGAGGCCGUGUAUCGCUCCCGGGACCCCGUGCGCAACCUGCGCCUCCGGUAGUCACUCGACCCCAGUUUCAGGGCCCCCUAACUUUAUGCUCCGAGGCCCCCUAACUUUAUUCCACCCUAAGCUUUUAGAUGCUCAGAGGCCCCUACUUCCGCUUACAAUCCCAACUACUUCCUCUGCCAUCUCUGCGCGCGUCUUGUUAUCAGGAUCUUUUUCCACUGAAAGCUUCCAAGUACACCUUUCAGAUUCACCCUGCCCAAGUCCCUUCAAGUUCUCGCCACUUUCAAACCCCUCGGGUCCCUGUGCUGAUUUAUCCAGCAGACGCCCCUACCCACCUCUUCUUUGCAGCAGCCUUGACUUCUCUGCCUCUGUGAUUUCUUUCCCCGAUUCAUGCUCUGUAUAUCUCCUUGCUGUGUGUCUCUGACACGCGUAUUUGGGGCUUCUCUUCUCUUGACAGAGUUCAUCUGCAAAGAAUCACAUCAAGCAACUUCCUUCAUUACCAGCCUGCUGCCCAGAUGGGGAAGGACCUCAUAGACUUGGCCACUUUUAGGCCUCCGCAAGCUGCUAGUGGGUGUUUGUGAUGACGCUACAUUCAUUUGAGACUAAGGCAGGGGUGCGGGGCAGUAGAGGUACAGAGGAGGAACGGAAGGCUCAGAGAGGUUGAGUUUAUUGCCCAGUGUCACCUAGCCGAGGAAUAUAGAAGCAUUUGAAUGAACCUGGGCAAUCAUCUUUUUAAUUUUUUAUUAUUUAUUUAUUUUUUUACAUUGUAAUUUACUUUUGUGUGUGUGUGCACGCCCAUGCCACAGUGCGAGAGUGAAGUUCAGGGGAUAACUUUUGCGAACCAGUUCAGUUAUCUCUUCACCAGAUGAAUCCUGGGGCUUGAGCCAUCUUACCCGAGUUGUGACUUGGGGGAUGGGGAAAGGACUUCUAAGAGAAAUAUGUUCCAAACUCCAAAUGUAUGUAUAAAUACACUUAAAAAACAAUUUUAAAACAGGAGUUUGCACGAAAAUAUGAUUUUUUCCUCUUGCCUUGAAAGCCAAAAGAAAGGACAGGACCGUCGUGUUUGGCCAAUAAUUUUUCAUGCUUUUGUCAUUGUUCUUUCUACUCAGAAAUAUUCUUAGGCAAAAAGGGUAGCCUGGCAGAUCACAAAUCAUGCAUCUUGUGUUUCUGGAUGAUUCGGUGGUGGUUUCAGAAAAACAUCAGGGUCCUUAUCUAGCAAAUUCAGCCAGGAUUGAGGAAGGGCUGGCCCUUCAGCCUCUAGCUAAACUCUAGUGCCUUAUACGGGACUAGAGAAUGUUUCUUGGAAGGCAGAGCUACCUUUUAUUCAAAUUAGAGUAAUGAUUAGGACACCUCAGGCCCUAAUCUUGCUUCUAGUAUUAACCAAAGUAUGUCCACCACCUGCAUUCUAUGUUUAGAGUGAGCGCUUAGUGAGUCACUAAAUUCCAGUGGGGUUUGCGGUCAAUGUGAGUAGGGACUUUGAAGGCAGACCUGGUGGUAUACACGUGUAAUGUCAGCGUUUUUCUGCCGAGGCAGGAGGAUCUGGAAUGUGAGGUCAGACCGGGCUGCAGAAUGAGACACUUCCAAACAACAAUAGC